ensembl:lncRNA
GCCGGUGUGAACUGCCCAGUUUUAGAACGUCGCACUCAGCCCGUCUCGUUGCAAGGCGUUGCAAGGAGUUGCGAGGUGAAUCUUGCAACGGCUUGCAACGAGACGGUUUUAGAACGUCGCAGGGGCGGUGUGAACGGGUCGUUGCAAGCCGUUGCAAGGAGUUGCAAGGCGUUGCAAGGAGUCGCCAGAGAUUGAACAUGUCAAAUCGCAAGGUCCUGUUUUAGAACGCGGCGAUUUAACUAUUCCUCUUCAGCCAAUCACAGCACAGAACAACUUGUACGUCACGGCCUUACUCCGUCCCGGUACCGUACUGUCCACUCCAGCGUAAAAAGAUCCGAAGAUGGCAGACUUCUGGUCCGAGGAGAGGGAGGAGAAAUUAAUUCGGUUGCUGGAGGAUCAACCUGUCCUAUACGACGUUGGCAGCAAGGGGUACAGCAACAGGGACAGCAAGAGGAGAGCGUGUUGUGACAUUGCGGUGGCAACUGGUGUAUCCGAAAAAGAGGUGGGCAAGAAAAUCCACUCCCUCCGGACCCAGUACAACAGGUACAGCAAGGCACCGGCUCCGGGGAGGGCCGGUGGGAGAACUGGCAGGCAGGACUGGGUUCUCAGGAGGCUCUCUUUCCUGGAGCCAUAUAUCAGGAAGAGAGCUUCUUCGUCCAACGUGGACGAAAAGAUUGUUGAAAGAGAGAGUGAUCUUGUGGAGGGACUGGACGAGGAAGAGGACGUGGAAGUAGAGGAGAGCAGUGAACCUGAGGGACAAGGCAGCACCUGCCUCGUCCCUCAGGUUCAGAAGGUCGCAGGCAGUAAAAGAAAGAGGCAAACAGAAAAGCAAGAAGAUGAGGUCCUAAGUGCCGUUGGCAAUUUUCUGAGACACAGGAUGGAACAGAGGGAGGAGGACACAAUGUCAAUCUUUUGUAAGAACCUCGAGAUGAAAAUGAGGCGAAUCAAGGACCCAAAUAUUUUAUUAGAUUUAGAGCACCAGCUGGAGGAAGCCUGCUACCAGGCUUCACUUAAAGAUAGAGACAACCAAGCCCCCCAAGGCACAGAAAGGAAAGGUAAUCCCUAAUAGUCACAUCACUCUAAAAUAUCUCUGUGACGUCAUCGAACACAAAUGGGCGACGUUUUAUUUGUGAUGCAAUGGUCUUCCAUCCCAGCUACAUCACCAUGUGAUCGCUUACACCAUGAUGAGAUGGAAAUGAUCCUCGAAACACGUUAUUUAUUGAACAGGAUAACUUACUGCUCAGCAUUGAUGCGAUUUAUACAAGCCAAGAAAUAAUAUAUUUUUUAAAUUGUAUUGAUGUAGAAUAGUAAUUUCAGAUCAUAAAUAUCAAGGGCUUUAACCAUUUGAAUUGGUGAUGAUAAAAUAGAAAGGUUGUUCUGCGUUAUAGCUCGAUUUUGCAAUCGGUACAGGUUAUUUGCCAAAUCUACAUCAGUUCUGUUGGUUUCCAAAUAAAACUCUAAACUCAUCCAACCUCCUGUGUCUCUGUCUCUGAGUGUAGAUCAGGGAAAACGCACUGAAGUCCAUCUUAGUCUGAUGCUUAUGUGGGAUCAGCGUUUGGUUUGUCUUAUUUUACUGUAGUGCUGAGCAUACAGGUCAGCAU